UACGGGGGGGGCAAGCGUUGUUCGGAAUUACUGGGCGUAAAGGGCGCGUAGGCGGCCUUCUAAGUCGGACGUGAAAUCCCUCGGCUUAACCGAGGAACUGCGUCCGAUACUGAAAGGCUUGAAUCCGGGAGAGGGAUGUGGAAUUCCAGGUGUAGCGGUGAAAUGCGCAGAUAUCAGGAGGAACACCAAUGGCGAAGGCAGCACUCUGGGACGUGACUGACGCUGAGACGCGAAAGCGUGGGGAGCAAACAGG
rnacentral:rRNA from 1 species